rnacentral:rRNA from 1 species
UACGUAGGGGGCAAGCGUUGUCCGGAAUCAUUGGGCGUAAAGCGCGCGUAGGCGGCCCGGUAAGUCCGCUGUAAAAGUCAAAGGCUCAACCUUUGAAUGUCAGUGGAUACUGCCGGGCUAGAGUCCGGAAGAGGCGAGUGGAACUCCUGGUGUAGCGGUGGAAUGCGCAGAUAUCAGGAAGAACACCCAUGGCGAAAGCAGCUCUCUGGGACGGUACUGACGCUGAGACGCGAAAGCGUGGGGAGCAAACAGG